rnacentral:lncRNA from 1 species
CAGAACUUGAUGACGUUGUUGGGGUGGGAGGAGCUCUGGGUGUCCAUCAGGCGCCCGAAGAGCGACCCCGGCACGGCGCGGCCAUCGAGGGACAGGCGGCCCUUGAAGAACCAGUGACGGCUGUGCUCGCUGCACAGGUGAGACAUGGACAGGUGUGUGUGACACUGACAGGUGUGUCACAGUCACAGGUGUGUCACAGGUGUGUCACAGGUGUGUCACUGUCACAGGUGUGUCCCAGGUGUCACAGUGACCCCGGCACGGCGCGGCCAUCGAGGGACAGGCGGCCCUUGAAGAACCAGUGACGGCUGUGCUCGCUGCACAGGUGAGACAGGUGUGUCACAGGUGUGUCACAGGUGUGUCACAGUGACACUGACAGGUGUGUCACAGUCACAGGUGUGUCCCAGGUGUCAGUGACCCCGGCACGGCGCGGCCAUCGAGGGACAGGCGGCCCUUGAAGAACCAGUGACGGCUGUGCUCGCUGCACAGGUGAGACAUGGACAGGUGUGUGUGACACUGACAGGUGUGUCACAGUGACAGGUGUGUCACAGGUGUGUUCAGGUGUGUCCCAGGUGUGUCCCCAGGUGUCCCCAGCUGUCCCCAGGUGUGUUCAGGUGUGUUCAGGUGUGUCCCAGGUGUCCCCAGGCGUCCCCAGGUGUCCCCAGGUGUCCCCGGGUCCAUCCCAAGAGGAUUUUGGAGAUUUUUUCUGGGAUUUUUCUGGGAUUUCAGGGAGGUUUUGGGGGAUUUUGUGGGAUUUUGGGGUGUUUUUUGAGGUUUUUGGGGUAUUUUGUGGGAUUUUGAGGUGUUUUGUGAGGUCUUUGGGGGAUUUUGGGGUGUUUUGUGAGGUUUUUUGGGUAUUUUGUGGGGUUUUGGGGUGUUUUGUGAGGUUUUUGUGGGAUUUUGUGGGGUUUUGGGGUGUUUUGUGAGGUUUUUGUGGGAUUUUGUGGGAUUUUGGGGUGUUUUGUGAGGUUUUUGGGUAUUUUGUGGGAUUUUGGGGUGUUUUGUGAGGUUUUUGUGGGAUUUUGUGGGAUUUUGAGGUGUUUUGUGAGGUUUUUGGGGUGUUUUGGGGGAUUUUGGGGUGUUCUGUGAGGUUUUUGUGGGAUUUUGGCGUGUUCUGUGAGGUUUUUGGGGUCACCUGUUGCUCUGGGCCAGGUCGAAGAGCUCCACCGAGGUCGGGUUCCUCCCGGCCUUCUGGAACAAUCUCGUGUAGAAUUCCAGGUCCCAGGAAUCAAAGGCCAGGCCUGGGAAAGGCAAAAUUCCCAAAAAACAUUCCCAAAAAAAUCCCAGAAACUCCCAAAACUUAUCCCAAAAAAUAUCAGCUCA